AAGUCGUAACAAGGUUUCCGUAGGUGAACCUGCGGAAGGAUCAUUAACAAAUCAUGUGUUGUGUCUGUGCUGCUUGAAAGGGCGCACACGACACACAUUAACCCGAACCUGGCUUCGGCCGGGUAAGGUGGGUCUCUCUGAUGUGUGUCCUUUGAUUCGAAAGAUGACGAGGGUGCGAAGGGGAGACUUGGAGUAUGUGUGUGCUGUGCUUAUGGUUCUCUGAACUUGUGGCGCACGCACGCAUUCACCACAUAGACGCUUGUACAAGUUUGACAGAGUUUUAUGACCAAUUAAAAAGAUACAACUUUUAACAAUGGAUCUCUUGGCUCUU
rnacentral:misc_RNA from 1 species